rnacentral:rRNA from 1 species
GACGAACGCUGGCGGCGUGCCUAAUACAUGCAAGUAGAACGCUGAAGGAGGAGCUUGCUUCUCUGGAUGAGUUGCGAACGGGUGAGUAACGCGUAGGUAACCUGCCUGGUAGCGGGGGAUAACUAUUGGAAACGAUAGCUAAUACCGCAUAAGAGUAGAUGUUGCAUGACAUUUGCUUAAAAGGUGCAAAUGCAUCACUACCAGAUGGACCUGCGUUGUAUUAGCUAGUUGGUGAGGUAACGGCUCACCAAGGCAACGAUACAUAGCCGACCUGAGAGGGUGAUCGGCCACACUGGGACUGAGACACGGCCCAGACUCCUACGGGAGGCAGCAGUAGGGAAUCUUCGGCAAUGGACGGAAGUCUGACCGAGCAACGCCGCGUGAGUGAAGAAGGUUUUCGGAUCGUAAAGCUCUGUUGUAAGAGAAGAACGAGUGUGAGAGGGAAAGUUCACA